UUUGAAUAUAAUAAAAAUAUUCAAUAAAAUAUUCUAUUUUCUUAUAAAAUAAUAUUUAUAGAGUUACCGGUAAAUAAUUUUUGUAGCAUAAAAGCUAAAUAAAUUCAUACAUAUUGUAAUACAGAUAACCAAAGCAUAAGAUUUAAUUUACAGUGACAUGUGGGCCCACGAACGACCAAAAGUAUCAAAAGUGGUAAACCUAC
rnacentral:lncRNA from 1 species